UACGUAGGGUGCAAGCGUUGUCCGGAAUUAUUGGGCGUAAAGAGCUCGUAGGCGGUCUGUCGCGUCGGCUGUGAAAACUCGGGGCUCAACCCCGAGCCUGCAGUCGAUACGGGCAGACUAGAGUGCUGUAGGGGAGACUGGAAUUCCUGGUGUAGCGGUGAAAUGCGCAGAUAUCAGGAGGAACACCGGUGGCGAAGGCGGUUCUCUGGGCAUGACCUGACGCUGAGGAGCGAAAGUGUGGGGAGCGAACAGG
rnacentral:rRNA from 1 species